GCCCGUAUAGGGUAGUGGAUUAUCCUGGGAGCUUGCGGAGCUCUUGACCUGGGUUCGAAUCCCAGUACGGGCA
rnacentral:tRNA from 4 species